rnacentral:rRNA from 1 species
AAAGCGGCGCACGGGUGAGUUAACACGUAGGUCAUCUCCCUCGAGUGGUGGAUAACCCUCCGAAAGGAGGACUAAUACAGCAUAAGACCACGGCCCCCCUGGGGUUGCGGUCAAAGCAGGCCACUACAUGUAAGCUUGCGCUUGAGGAUGAGUCUGCGGCCCAUCAGCUAGUUGGUAAGGUAACGGCUUACCAAGGCUAAGACGGGUAGCUGGUCUGAGAGGAUGAGCAGCCACACUGGAACUGAAACACGGUCCAGACUCCUACGGGAGGCAGCAGUAGGGAAUCUUGCGCAAUGGACGAAAGUCUGACGCAGCGACGCCGCGUGAGCGAUGAAGGCCUUCGGGUCGUAAAGCUCUGUGGGGAGAGACGAAUAAGGUAUGGCUAACAUCCAUGCCGAUGACGGUAUCUCCUUAGCAAGCACCGGCUAACUCUGUGCCAGCAGCCGCGGUAA